UACAUGGGGUGCAAACGUUGCUCGGAAUUACUGGGCGUAAAGCGUGCGCAGGCGGUUCGCCAAGUCAGGUGUGAAAUCCCCGGGCUCAACCUGGGAAUUGCGAUGGAGACUGCAAGGCUAGAAUCUGGCAGAGGGGGGGUAGAAUUCCACGUGUAGCAGUGAAAUGCGUAGAGAUGUGGAGGAACACCGGAUGGCGCAAGGGCAGCCCCCUGG
rnacentral:rRNA from 1 species